rnacentral:rRNA from 1 species
UAGGAGAACCUGCGGAAGGAUCAUUG